rnacentral:rRNA from 1 species
CGGGUGAGUAACGCGUGGGCAACCUGCCUUACACAGGGGGAUAACACUUAGAAAUAGGUGCUAAUACCGCAUAAGCGCACAGCUUUGCAUGAAGCAGUGUGAAAAACUCCGGUGGUGUAAGAUGGACCCGCGUCUGAUUAGCUGGUUGGCAGGGUAAAGGCCUACCAAGGCGACGAUCAGUAGCCGGCCUGAGAGGGUGAACGGCCACAUUGGGACUGAGACACGGCCCAGACUCCUACGGAAGGCAGCAG